CCUGGAAGUGUUUAAGUGGAAGAGGAUGCAGCCUACCAGGGACACUGAGCACAUCCCAUACAGACAGGCCAGAUAGAUCUUCCUCCCACAGUUCACUGUGACCUCAGUUUACUCUUCUGACUUUAUCCCCACAGAGCCUUCCACUCGGAUCAAGCAGCUGCCACCAGGCCUUUCAGCCAGCCCUUAGGAAGCAGCUGCUGCCCCGGCACACUCCGGAGAUGUUUGUAGAAGGCAUGAAAGCAGCUCGGACUCUACCUUCACCACACAGAGCCUCCCUGGGCUCAAACCAACCUCCUCUCUCAAAUGGUUUCUUCCGCGGAAAUAACACCCGUGGGGUCUGAGGUGCCGCCCAGUCUUAUGUCAACUCCAGGUAACCAGGAUUAGCGCUCCACCCCACCCCAGCACCCCUAAGUCUGUUCUAGCACCACCCCGCCUCCAUUUAUGGAGUCUCUCCGCAACCCCAGCACUUAGCACCAGGCUUGGCACACAGUAGGCACUUAAUAAAUCUGCACAAGACUUGACAAGGUUCGAAGAGAGCCGGUAUGACCCCUUUUUUCUUGAUGAGGAAACUGAGGCAGCGGGGGUGGGGAGAGAGUGCUCUCCAGGAAUUCACUAUCUGAACUCGGGUCCUCCUGCCUCUACCCUCAAGCCCUGAAGGCCAUAUGGAGGCCAGCUCUUGGAGAUGACCUCCAGGGCUCCUUCAGACCCCACGUGCGGCCAGGGAGUCAAGUGCUGGCCUCGGAGGCGGAAGGGUCCGUUCCUAGCAGGGUGACCGCCUCCCUUCGGCCUGCCUCAGUUUCCCCGUCAGUGCACGGAGGCGGCUGAAUUCUCUCUAAGACUCUCUGCACCUGGGAGUCCCAAAUUCCCACCUGCAGAGGAGAACAGAGACCGGGGCGGGGUAAAGGAACGGGGACCCCCUGCCCCGAGUUGCCCGAGAGAUCGACCCCGCCCCGCUUACCCCCACCACCCCUAACCCCUCGCGCCCCGCCAGCAGGUCACCUCGUCUGUUGGCCAUCCUAGCUCCCGGCUCCCGGCUCGUCUGGAUUUCCCUAGCGCUGAGUGUUGCGUCACCAGCCUGAGCGCGAGGCCCUGUGGGAAAUGUAGUCCCGGCCAAGAGCUCAGCCCCGGAGACACCUUCAAAUGUGGAGGGAGGAGCAAAGAGAAAGAGAUUGGAAAAAAGGGGAAAGAGGGAAGAGGAGAGGAAGAGGGAGGAGGGGGAAGGGGAAGAAGAAAGAGGUCGGAGGAAGAGGAUCACAGCUUUAUCAGGUCACUGCAGCUUUGUGGGCUUCAGUUUCCUCAUUUGUAAAAUGAGGGGUUAGACCAGCUAACCUCUGAGGACCUUUCCAGGUCUAAGUGUUUGGGAUCUUAUGGACGUCCCCGGGUUUCCGUUUGCUGAAAAGUACCUGUCUGGAGACGUGAAAAAUCCUGGCUAGCAUUUAUAAAGCGCCUUGCAAAUAGUGUUUCAUUUGAUCCUCACGACAGCACCUACCUUUCCCAGUUGUCGUGAUAUAUUAUUUCUCCCUGUUUUACAGAUGGGGAAACUGAGGAAGACAAGUGAAGUGACUUGCCCAAGAUCACACAGCUAGUAAGUGUCUGAGGCUUGAAUCUAGUCCUCCCUGACUCCAGGGUCAGCGCUUUAUCCACUGCGCCACCUAGUGGAAGUAAAAAAGGCUUUUAUGUAGUGCUUUCUCUGUUCAAAGCCCAGUCCAAGCUUUGGGCGUGUAAAUAGAAAGGUAAUAGAAUAUUGUUUGCCUUCUCAAGAGAUGGGGGAGGGGGGGAAAGUUUGGAAAAAUAAAUGUUAAAAAAAUAUUACAUGUAAUUGGGAAAUAGUCAACAAAAUACAAAAUUUUUAAUGUUGUGUUUGUUUGUUUGUUUGUUUUAAAGAAAAGAAAGAGUCCCGCUUCUUAGGAACUCGCUGCUCCCGGAAUCAGGAAGUCCUAAGUGCAAAAACUAUCUCAGAUAAUGAUUAGCUAGCUGUGUCACCCAGGGGAAGUCACAACCUCUGUUUGUAAAAUGGGAGUAAUAUCUCGCAGGGGUGUUAUGGAUACUAAAUGAAAUUGUAAAGCACUUUGCAAACUUAAAUUGCCACAUAAAUGCUAGCUAUUUUUAUUAAUAUUAUUUUAACAGACGGGCAACAUCCCUAGGAGGUUUCAUCUGCAGGAAAGAUCGGAAUAACAAAAAUAUACAAAAGCCGGCCUGGGCAAGGCAUAUAACCAUUUUUGUCCGUGGUAUUCCCUCCAAUCAAGAUUUGGGGUGCCUCGGUCCGCAGUGGAGGGGACUCAGCCUGCGAAAACCUAGCGGAAGAUAGAUAGACUAGCGGGCUAGUCUGCUAGCACGAGAUGGCUAGAGGAAGCCGGGUUUCACAAAACAGUUUAACUGUGCCUUUCUUAAAAUGCCAGAGCGAGGCGGGCCAGCCCCAUUUCUCCGGGCUGCAGGGAUCCGCCCACCUGAGGAGCUUUCCCUUCCCCCAUGAUGAGGUCAUGGGGAGGAGCUGAGAACCCUAAGCCCACCUCCUCAUGAAGAAAUUCACCAAAGAGGGACUGUCCGGGCGGGCCGAAUGAUGCGCUCUCGAGCCAAUCAGAAGGAAGACACACCUAGGUAAUUAGCAGCCCUUGCUGUGGGACUUUGAAACUGAGGGAGCUUAUACUGACCAUCCCCCUAGUAACUGCCUUGUCUAGCCCAAGCUGCCUCCUAUUUCUCCCUCAGGUUUUCUUGUAAAAAGGGACUGAAGGAGGUAGCUAAAAUGGCUCCAGUGGGUGGAGAGCCAGGCCUGGAGAUGGGAGGUCCUGGGUUCAAAUGGGGCCGCAGGCACUUCCUAGCUGAGUGGCCCUGGACAAGUCAUAACUCUGACUGCCUAGCUCUUGCCACACUUCUGUCUUAGAAUUGAUACUAAGACAGUAUUGAUUCUAAGAUGGAAGAUAACGGUUCAGAAAAAUUAAAAUAAAGGACUGAACUAUCUCAUUCAAUCAAUAAUAUACUCAGCACAUCAGCCCUCUGCUAAAUAAACAAACAAUUUAGGAAAAAUUGUGUGGAAAUUUAUGUAAUUGGUAAAAAAAAUUAAUAAAUCCAAUUUAACAUUUAA